rnacentral:lncRNA from 1 species
UACAGACUGGUUUGUCCCUGAUGUUUCCAGAAGGAUCGGCAACCACCUGCUGCUGGAGAGCCAGAGUCAAAGGACCAUGGGCAGGUGGCACCAGGGAGCCAAGCAAGAUCUCCUUGUGGAGAACUUCUCCUAGAAUAUCAACACGCCAGACUCGCACCACUCCGGCUCUAUUUCACACACUGGCCCCUCCCCUCCUUGACUGUCCUUGAAAUUCUAGAAUUUGAACGCUCACUGUGCAUCUCUCCGAAGUGACUUUAUCAGCUAGAAGCCUCGGUGACUCCCAGAGUUUCCUUUCUACUGUGCAAUCUCUGCAAACCUUCAAUUCGG